UUCAUUAUAUGAAUAAAUAAUGUCUUGAGAAAUUCUGACCAGGGAAGAGCACUUUCACAUUCUCCUUGGAGCCAUCAAAACCACAACAUCAACAAGCCACUUAUGAAACUCCUACCCAGAUUCACAGAUUUUCAAGGCCAGGAGGGAGGAUGAGGCCAACUGGUUGGAGAAUGCUGUUAUUUAUCCUGAAAAAAAAUGUGUAAAAAUCA